UACGUAGGGUGCAAGCGUUAAUCGGAAUUACUGGGCGUAAAGCGUGCGCAGGCGGUUUUGUAAGUCUGAUGUGAAAUCCCCGGGCUCAACCUGGGAAUUGCAUUGGAGACUGCAAGGCUAGAAUCUGGCAGAGGGGGGUAGAAUUCCACGUGUAGCAGUGAAAUGCAUAGAGAUGUGGAGGAACACCGAUGGCGAAGGCAGCCCCCUGGGUCAAGAUUGACGCUCAUGCACGAAAGCGUGGGGAGCAAACAGG
rnacentral:rRNA from 1 species